CUAACUCAAAAUUUUAUUGAUGUGGAACGUUUGCCUUUGUUUGCCGCUAGGGGCGCUGUUCCAACUGCAUAUAAAUUUGAGUUA
rnacentral:pre_miRNA from 1 species